GACGAACGCUGGCGGCGUGCUUAACACAUGCAAGUCGAGCGGUAAGGCCCUUUCGGGGGUACACGAGCGGCGAACGGGUGAGUAACACGUGGGUGACCUGCCCUUAGCUCUGGGAUAAGCCUGGGAAACUGGGUCUAAUACCGGAUAUGACUCCAUGACGCAUGUUGUGGGGUGGAAAGCCUUGUGCGGCUAGGGAUGGGCCCGCGGCCUAUCAGCUUGUUGGUGGGGUGAUGGCCUACCAAGGCGACGACGGGUAGCCGGCCUGAGAGGGCGACCGGCCACACUGGGACUGAGACACGGCCCAGACUCCUACGGGAGGCAGCAGUGGGGAAUCUUGCGCAAUGGGCGAAAGCCUGACGCAGCGACGCCGCGUGAGGGAUGACGGCCCUCGGGUUGUAAACCUCUUUCAGCCUUGACGAAGCGAAAGUGACGGUAGGGGCAGAAGAAGCACCGGCCAACUACGUGCCAGCCGCCGCCGUAAC
rnacentral:rRNA from 1 species